rnacentral:lncRNA from 1 species
AAGAGGUUUGGAGUCCAGUCCAGCUGGAGUACUGCCUUCCACCACGUUGUCCUCAGCCCACAACGACACACUGGUCACACAUUGUAAACUGGAUAGCGAGAGCUCAGAAUAUAAGGAGAAGCUGGAGCUCUACUUCUCUGAUCCCCAGCAACUACUGGAUCUGAUGAUGGAGCUGACAGAGCAGAACCUGUCACUGCUUCAGAACUCGACCAGAUUUGAUGAGACACUGUUACUGUUACGGCA